CCGGUUGAAGGUGUCCCUAACAUUUUCCUUUACAUUUAAAUACUGGUGGACAUGGCGAUCAACUUCCCUAAGAUUGGAUUAGUUGUACAGGGAUCUCAAAGAAAGCAUUGAAUCUAUAAAGCUCAAAUUUCCCCAUCCAUUCUUCAUCUCUUUUGGAUCUUUUUGAUAUAUUUUGUUGGUUCCUUUCRGGAAUAGAUGUCUUCAUCUUUGAGUUGGAGAGGUUGGAGCUUUCUAUGCACAAUGUAGAAGGUAACCAUAGACACAAUCUAGGAGAGUUGUGAACCACAGCAAGAUGGUUAAGAGUAAGCGUGUCCAUGAAAAGUGGAGUUGUCCUGACAUGGAAUUUUUACAAAAGUAUAUUUUUUAUACUCAAGGCCGUAAAUCUCUUGAUUUGUCUUGAUUUAAUGUUAAGUGUGC